GGCAGACAGAAAGAGGAGUGUUAGGUAAGCGCUCGGCUAUCCAGCACGCAGACAUGCACAGAUGCACUAAUGAUUGAGGGCCGACCCGGUUCUCCUCUGCAACAGGUCAUGCGAGACAAACAAAGAGAGUGUGCUGGAGAACAUGCAGCUCGGUUCCGCGGGCUUAGCUGCGGGUGGCUGUGGCAGGCUCACAGGACCAGGACAAUGCACCAGAUACAAUGUCUCCUCAUGGGCCCAUAAGGAGGAAACCGGAGUACCUGGAUGAA